AUGCGAUAAGUAAUGUGAAUUGCAGAAUUCAGUGAAUCAUCGAAUCUUUGAACGCAUCUUGCGCUCCUUAGUAUUCUGAGGAGCAUGCCUGUUUGAGUAUCAUUAAAUUAUCAACUGCAUCAGCUUUUUGGAGUUGGCUGCAGAUUGGAUUAUGGGAGUUUCUGCAGGCUUUUGGUAAGCCAGCUCUCCUGAAAUGCAUUAGCCAGUGCCUUUUGUUGGCUCCUUAGGUGGUGAUAGCUUAUCCACACCUUUAUGUUAGCCUUCACUUUAGAGGUUAUACUGCUUAUAGUCGUCUUGUUAUUCCAGGACAAUAAUGUUUAAUGACAUAACUUGAUCUCAAAUCAGGUAGGAGUACCCGCUGAACUUAA
rnacentral:rRNA from 1 species